rnacentral:rRNA from 1 species
AUCCUACGGGAGGCAGCAGUGGGGAAUAUUGCACAAUUGGGCGCAAGCCUGAUUGCAGCCAUGCCGCGUGUAUGAAGAAGGCCUUUCGGGUUGUAAAGUACUUUCAGCAGUGAGGAAGGUGGAUAUGUUAAUAGCAUAUUCAUUUGACGUUAGCUGCAGAAGAAGCACCGGCUAACUCCGUGCCAGCAGCCGCGGUAAUACGGAGGGUGCGAGCGUUAAUCGGAAUUACUGGGCGUAAAGCGCAUGCAGGUGGUUUGUUAAGUCAGAUGUGAAAGCCCGGGGCUCAACCUCGGAAUUGCAUUUGAAACUGGCAAACUAGAGUACUGUAGAGGGGGUAGAAUUUCAGGUGUAGCGGUGAAAUGCGUAGAGAUCUGAAGGAAUACCGGUGGCGAAGGCGGCCCCCUGGACAGAUACUGACACUCAGAUGCGAAAGCGUGGGGAGCAAACAGGAUUAGAUACCCUGGUAG